GCCAUGUAAGUUACUUUUGAAAUAUAAUUUUAUUAUAUUUUGUUUUGUUUUUAUAUGAUUCAAUUUCUUUUCUUUUUUGUAUAUAAAUGUUAUUACCAUUUAUUAGUUAAUCAAAUUUGGGUUUAGGUGUAUUAGAUCAUUUGCAUAGUUUUUUUAAUUUUUUGUUUUGUUUAAUUAUUAUUAUUAUUUUUAAUUUAGUUAUUAAACCAUUUU
rnacentral:lncRNA from 1 species